UGUGCUGAACCGCUUCAUAUCAC
rnacentral:siRNA from 1 species